rnacentral:rRNA from 1 species
GAUGAACGCUGGCGGCGUGCUUAACACAUGCAAGUCGAACGGAAAGGCUCCUGCUUGCAGGGGUACUCGAGUGGCGAACGGGUGAGUAACACGUGGGUGAUCUGCCCUGCACUUCGGGAUAAGCCUGGGAAACUGGGUCUCAUACCGGAUAGGACGAUGGUCUGGAUGCCAUUGUGGAAAGUUAUUCGGUUUGGGAUGAGAUCGCGGCCUAUCAGCUUGUUGGUGGGGUAAUGGCCUACCAAGGCGUCGACGGGUAGCCGGCCUGAGAGGGGGUCCGGCCCAGCUAGACUGGGGAUGAGGCCCGGACUCGAAUGGGAGGGAAGGGUGGAGAGGAGUGUAUAAGAGGAGCAAGCCUGAUGCAGCGACGCAGCGUGGGGGAUGACGGCCAUGGGGUUGUGAACUCCUGCCGCUAGGGACGAAGCGCUAGUGACGGUAGCUGGAGAAGAAGCCCCGGCUAACUACGUG